AUACGUAGGGUGCAAGCGUUGUCCGGAAUUAUUGGGCGUAAAGAGCUCGUAGGCGGCUUGUCGCGUCUGCUGUGAAAUCCCGGAGCUCAACUCCGGGCCUGCAGUGGGUACGGGCAAGCUAGAGUGCGGUAGGGGAGAUUGGAAUUCCUGGUGUAGCGGUGGGAUGCGCAGAUAUCAGGAGGAACACCGAUGGCGAAGGCAGAUCUCUGGGCCGCUACUGACGCUGAGGAGCGAAAGCAUGGGGAGCGAACAGGAUUAGAUACCCUGGUAGUCCAUGCCGUAAACGUUGGGAACUAGAUGUAGGGCCUGUUCCACGGGUUCUGUGUCGUAGCUAACGCAUUAAGUUCCCCGCCUGGGGAGUACGGCCGCAAGGCUAAA
rnacentral:rRNA from 1 species